rnacentral:rRNA from 1 species
AUGAACGCUAGCGGCAGGCCUAAUACAUGCAAGCCGAACGGCAAGAUUGAUAGCAAUAUUGAUCCUAGAGUGGCGUAAGGGUGCGUAACACGUAUGCAAUCUACCCUCAACAGGAGGAUAGCCUCCCCGAAAGGGAAUUAANACUCCAUAAGAUCAUUUGGUGGCAUCAUUGAAUGAUUAAACUUCCAGGGGUUGAGGAUGAGCAUGCGCCNG